rnacentral:rRNA from 1 species
UACGUAGGGUGCAAGCGUUGUCCGGAAUUAUUGGGCGUAAAGAGCUCGUAGGCGGUUUGUCGCGUCGGCUGUGAAAUCCCGAGGCUCAACCUCGGGCCUGCAGUCGAUACGGGCAAACUAGAGUGUGGUAGGGGAGACUGGAAUUCCUGGUGUAGCGGUGAAAUGCGCAGAUAUCAGGAGGAACACCGGUGGCGAAGGCGGGUCUCUGGGCCGUUACUGACGCUGAGGAGCGAAAGCGUGGGGAGCGAACAGG